rnacentral:rRNA from 1 species
AAUAUUUCGCAACGGAGGGAACUCUGACGCAGCGACGCCGCGUGAGCGAUGAAGGUCUUCGUACCGCAUAGCUCUGUCCUUGGGGAAGAAGGUCUUCGGACUUGACGGUACCUAAGGAGGAAGCCCCGUCUACCUACGUGCCAGCAGCCGCGGUAAUACGUAGGGGGCAAGCGUUGUCCGGAAUUACUGGGCGUAAAGCGUGCGCAGGCGGUUCGGCAAGAAGGAUGUGAAAUCCCAGGGCUUAACCUUGGAACUGCAUUCUUAACUGCCGGGCUAGAGUAUGUCAGAGGGGGGUAGAAUUCCGCGUGUAGCAGUGAAAUGCGUAGAGAUGCGGAGGAAUACCGAUGGCGAAGGCAGCCCCCUGGGAUAAUACUGACGCUCAUGCACGAAAGCGUGGGGAGCAAAC